CCUGGCUCUGCUUUAAAGGCCAGCUGCCUGAUCCUUGCUGUCCUGGAGAGAAGGGAGGUGCCAUAUCAGGUGCAUGAAAGACUGUAUGAGCCACAACAGAAGCCAUACAAAGUCAAAGGAGAAGGUUAGGAUCAUCUUUUUGGACUGAUACUGGAAGCAGGGCUGCACAGUCGACGGGGAAGAAUGCAAAAAAUACUAAACAAAAUCUCACUUUGCUGGGAUGGAUGUUUUUACAGCAGUGGUGGACCCUGGGACCAAGCUGCUGGAAUUACUGAGAACCUGUGAGUUCCUGUCACAAAAGCAGCCUGUCUAGAGAUUCCACCAAAAAAACAAGGACUGCAGGCUGCACUUCACCUGAAAAGCUGAAAAUGAGUCCUUGAUUAUGUAACCAAGAGAAGUAUUUGGACCUCUGAGCGCAGUAUUGAAGUAUACAAUUCUUCUCAGAAUGCAUGAAGUGUUCUUCAUUUAUAUUUUCUUGGAUUUACUCUUUUUUGUAUAGAACAGAGGUAACUAGAGGGACAUUGCAGCAUUUGUGGAUCUGUUGUUUUUACUCCUGAGAUAACUAUGAAAAAUGAAACAGUGGAAGACAAAGCUCGUUGCAAAAUAAUAUUUAUAAUCUGAAUGUGUACAAAAUGUAUCAAAUAUGCAAGUGCUAACACAAACUGAAUUAAGAAUUGAGCCUGGAAUCUCACGUUUACAGAAAUUACUGAAAAUACAAUUGUCUAUUAGGCUGUGGGAUACAAAGUUUGUUCAGUUAAAAGGUCUUACUUAAGUAUGCUACAAUGAAGUCCACCCCAUACCAGUAGCUUUAAUACUCCAGCCUUAACAUCAAAAUUCAGAGAGAAAAUCAAUAAAGGAGAAGGUGUGGAUUUAUUUUAAAUAUUGUUUUAUAAGUAAAUGUGAUUAUGGGAUAUACUGUUAUUAUGAAUUAUUAUAGAAAGUGUGACUCCAUCUAACAGGUCUAGAGAAACUGUUCGCAUUUACAGCACUCUAUACCACCACUGCAGACUGUUAAAUCCUGCUAAAACAUGACCAGCCUAUUGGAACAUACAUUUCCAGACCCUAUCAAAUUUAGAAUAAACUUCUAGGUAUGGUUAAGAAAGCAGAGAUAGGAAAAGGGAAAACAUAUUAGUUUGUUCCUUUAAUUAGCACAUCUUUAACAUUUAACAUUUGUUGGCAUGUAAUACAGAGAAGACAUUAAAAAUUACAUUCUUUAUGAUGAAUUUC